GACGAACGCUGGCGGCGUGCUUAACACAUGCAAGUCGAACGGGUCUGCCCUGUUUUUUGCGGGGUGGGUCAGUGGCGAACGGGUGAGUAACAUGUGAGUAACCUGCCCCUCACUUCUGGAUAACCGCUUGAAAGGGUGGCUAAUACGGGGUGUUCUGGCUGUGCCGCAUGGUGUGGCUGGGAAAGAUUCACUUUUGUGGUGUUUUGGUGGGGGAUGGGCUCGCGGCCUAUCAGCUUGUUGGUGGGGUGAUGGCCUGCCAAGGCUUUGACGGGUAGCCGGCCUGAGAGGGUGGGCGGUCACACUGGGACUGAGAUACGGCCCAGACUCCUGCGGGAGGCAGCAGUGGGGGGUAUUGCACAAUGGGCGGAAGCCUGAUGCAGCGACGUCGCGUGAGGGAUGGAGGCCUUCGGGUUGUGAACCUCUUUCGCCGGUGAAGAAGGUCCUGCUCUUUGUGGUGGGGUUGACGGUAGCCGGGUUAUGAAGCGCCGGCUAACUACGUG
rnacentral:rRNA from 1 species